rnacentral:rRNA from 1 species
GAUGAACGCUGGCGGCGUGCCUAAUACAUGCAAGUCGAGCGAACAGACGAGGAGCUUGCUCCUCUGACGUUAGCGGCGGACGGGUGAGUAACACGUGGAUAACCUACCUAUAAGACUGGGAUAACUUCGGGAAACCGGAGCUAAUACCGGAUAACAUGUUGAACCGCAUGGUUCAACAGUGAAGGACGGUCUUGCUGUCACUUAUAGAUGGAUCCGCGCCGCAUUAGCUAGUUGGUAAGGUAACGGCUUACCAAGGCAACGAUGCGUAGCCGACGGGAGAGGGGGAUCGGCCACACUGGAACUGAGACACGGUCCAGACUCCUACGGGAGGCAGCAGUAGGGAAUCUUCCGCAAUGGGCGAAAUCCUGACGGAGCAACGCCGCGUGAGUGAAGAAGGUCUUCGGAUCGUAAAACUCUGUUAUUAGGGAAGAACAAAUGUGUAAGUAACUAUGCACGUCUUGACGGUACCUAAUCAGAAAGCCACGGCUAACUACGUG